UAAUACUUGUCAGGGAGCCUUCUUCUUCUUCUUGGUGGAGAGAGAGGGAGACCAAGAAGAAGAAGGGGAUGGCGAUGGCGCCGCCGCGUCUGCUGCGGGGCCUCAUCGCGCCGCUUCCGCUGUUGCCGGCCGACUGGCUGCCGUGCCAUCAGCAGCUGCUCGCCUCCGCCGCCCUCCUACACCGCUGGUGGAUCCCCUCGCUAGCGCGCCUCCGCUGCUCCGACGGAUUCAAGCUCUUCCUCGUCCUGCUCCUCGUCUCCGCCGCCCUCGCCGAGGUCCGCUACGUCGCCUCCGCCUCCAUGGCGCCCACCCUCCGCCCCGGCGACCGCGCCGUCGCAGAGAAAGUGAGCUACAGGUUCCGGCGGCCGUCUGUGGGCGACAUUGUCUUCUUCAGGGUGCCCACGGCGCUGCAGAACUGCGGCAUGAAUAAAGAUGUCGUAUUUAUUAAGAGGGUUAUUGCCACCCCUGGGGAUUUCAUCGAGGUCCGGCAAGGCCAGCUUAUUGUUAACAGUGUUGCACAGAAUGAACACUACACCGCACCCCAUGCGUCGUCGUACACGAUGGAAGCCAUGGUCCACAGAUACUUGUAUGACCAAACUACCAUGCCUCAUUAUUGCUAGACAAACAAAUGACCAUACAUACUACUACUGCAAGAGGAGGACCAAAAGUGGCAUGGCUGCUCUGUGUUGUUGACUUCCUGAGUACCCCCAUUGUUCUUUCGAAAUGAAAUGACGGGUCUCAGAUGCGCCUCCCUGAAGGCCAUGUAUUCGUCAUGGGUGAUAACCGUAAUAACAGCUGUGAUUCUCGUGCCUGGGGGGCUCUUCCUAUCAGCAACAUUCUUGGAAGAUACAUGAUGUCCUUCACAAGAUCGUCCCUCCAAUAGCCAAGGCGAAGAGCUUCGAUGACCACCAGCGUUGCCGAACACCCCCUGAUGCCACUUGAUAUGAUGUUAUCGAGCUAUGUUGGGCCUCGAGCCCUUCUUAGUAUGUAGAUCCACGAGACCUUCCUAUGCAGUGUGAUGUAGUGCUGUCUGUGUAGUAUUACUUAAUCCUGGGAAGAACUACGUAGUGACUUGGUUAGAUGUUGUCACUCACCCCUGGACUGUCAGGUGUUAGUUAAGCUUACUUGUUGGUAGAACCUGCAAAAUGUGCCUAAAGGUUUACACCUUCUAGUAAACGUAGCUGUCUGAAUCUUACCGGUAAUGUUUUAUUAUGUACCGCGUGCUUGACAUUCAGAAGUUUGCAGUGAAUAAUUGUGGUGGUUCCUUGCUGCCUGUAGAUAAA